rnacentral:misc_RNA from 1 species
AUUCGUACCUCUGGCGUUGGGAAGCGGAGAUCGCACCGAUUGAUUCUUCGUCAAUCAAGUCGGGAGUUGGUACCAGUCCUGCGUCAACCUUUCCGCUGGCUGGAAAAGUUCCCGCAUUCAUAGGCUUGGGCGCCCAAUUCUUUUCUUGCCGCUCGCUGAGGUCACGUGGAAGUUUUCCUAAAUCCAUCCAUUUGGUGGGCCUUUGGACUCGCAAGCAGGGGUAUGCUGCUCUUCGCUCCCCCAGGACCAAAAGAGUCUUUCUAUACGCUAUGAAAAGCAUCUCGAAAGAGACUGAGAUUAAACCCUCGAAAGUAGAAGAAUCCCAAAACCAUGCAGCCAUUCCUGCCCUAACUCAGAAGUUUUUUCAAGUAUGACAGUAAAUACCCUGGACACGGAUCCAGAGCAAGCCUCCGAGCAGAAAGGACAGCAGCCUAAGUUAGCUUCAGCAGCAUCUGGCACCAGCUCUAUGACCAAAGAAAAGAGGUGGUCAACUUGCCUUCCCUGACUGUGAAUACACUUGAUGAAAUCCCUGAUGUCGAUGUGCUGAUCAAGGAAGAUGAUGGGGAACUGAAGAACUGGAAGGAAGAGGAGCUAAGCUCUAUCCUCUUUCUCUUCAACAAGGAGAAAGGGAAGAGGGAGAUCCAACUAGAAAUAUCGUAAGAGAAGAAGGGCUAUCUCACUCUAAGACAAGGUGCGACUCUUAUCCAUUUAGCAUUUCAUGCUUUUUCCGACUUAGCAUUUCAUGCUUUGCUCAGUCUCAUUAUGAACCUGGAAAAGGAAGAUCUCGAAGGCUCCGAAGGAAGAGAGCUAGGAUCUUAACGUAUGAUAAUAUCAGACUGAUUUAGUUAUAAGGGAGAGAGUGCAAGGAAUACAAGAACAUCUUCUAAGCUCUUUGGAGAUGAUUCCGUACUGAAAUGCUUUGGCCAGCCCAGCCAAGUCAGUCUCGUCGCGCUUUAGCUACUUUAGCUUCUAUGCUUGAGCAUGAGUAUGGAAGAAGAUACUGGUGCUACUAUAGAAUCUUAGCGCAGUUUUUGAACCUAGGAAGCAAGUAGCAACUUCCUUAAGUAAAUGGUAGACGGGGUCAAAGCGUCAUUAUCCAUGAGAUUGAAAAAGGAAGCGCAGAAAUAGACCAUUGCUAAGAUCCCUUCUCCCGCAGCAUAGUUUAGGUAGGAUAGAUAGAUGUA